rnacentral:lncRNA from 1 species
UAUUCUAUCAACCUUAAUGCCAUGUUUGUAGGCUUGUGAACACUGACCCUAUCCAACUCAAAGAAAGAAGACGCAGGCUAGUAUUCUCAUCUGGAUUACAUCACAUUAGCAUUUGAGAUAUUUUUACUUUAAUGUUUCAAAGAGAAGAAUUUUUGUUAAAGCAAGAUUUUCAUUUUUUUUCUUUUUUCUUGUUAAACUAUGAUAAACUGAAAAAUACAAGUAUAUCUUGAUUUUAAAAAUCAACCAAGACAAGAAAAUAGAAUGAACAACUAUUCUUAUAGGCAAUGAAUGGAAAACCUCUAAAUGUAGUCAUUGGUUUAGUAAGGACAGUUGGAACCAUAAACAGUAGAUAAGUUUCUAAUAAAAAUAAUAAAAUCCAUCAUCUAUAUAAGUUGAGAACAAAUAAAUUUCAUGUCAAAGAUCUAAAAAAUUUGAAGGAAACCUGAUAGUAAACAAAUAUUCAAUUCAU